UGAGUAACGCGUAUGCAACCUACCUUUUACAGGGGAAUAGCCCGGAGAAAUUCGGAUUAAUGCUCCAUGGUUUAUAUGAAUGGCAUCAUUUAUAUAAUAAAGAUUUAUCGGUAAAAGAUGGGCAUGCGUAUCAUUAGCUAGUUGGUGUGGUAACGGCAUACCAAGGCGACGAUGAUUAGGGGUCCUGAGAGGGAGAUCCCCCACACUGGUACUGAGACACGGACCAGACUCCUACGGGAGGCAGCAGUGAGGAAUAUUGGUCAAUGGAGGCAACUCUGAACCAGCCAUGCCGCGUGCAGGAUGACGGUCCUAUGGAUUGUAAACUGCUUUUGUACGGGAAGAAAUGUAAUUACGUGUAAUUAUUUGACGGUACCGUAAGAAUAAGGAUCGGCUAACUCCGUGCCAGCAGCCGCGGUAAUACGGAGGAUCCGAGCGUUAUCCG
rnacentral:rRNA from 1 species